rnacentral:lncRNA from 1 species
CGAGGAUUAACAAAACAUUGCGUUUAGGCGAGGAUUAAAAUGAAUACUGAAAUAAAUUGCAAUGCACAAAUUAAAAUCAAAGGAAACUUGAUUGUGAACUGAUUUAAAAACGGAAGGACCACGCGCGAAAUUAUCCCGAUUAGCAGAACUACGCGAAUCCUGAUGCUUGUGGGUCGAGUCGAGCGGAUCUGGCGCCUAAACGACGCCGUUUGGCGUUCAAAAUUAAGGCACAAAAACGGUGUCAUUUCGUAAGUGAUAUAACUCUAAUUCUUCUUGCAAAAUUCAUUUGUUUUUUUUUUCUAAAAAACAGAAUGCUCCCUUCCUUUUGCUAAGGAUUCGACCUAGCCUGGCGCCGCACCUGUGGGUCAUCGGUGCCUUACACCUCCACCUUGGCCGACGGUUCAUGGAGCGAAGUCAGGUAAGCCUUUCUCUUUCGGUUUUAUUCAAAAUCGAUUUGUCAAAAACAUGAAAGAAGAAAAAUAAAUAAAGGAAACAUGAAUGAAGAGAAAAUUUGAGAAAAAGAGUGAAAAACAACCUUUUAAUCCUUGGAUCCGACUUUUUGAUUACUAUUGAUUGUUUUUCCGUAUCCAGUAUGCUAUUGUAUUCGUAAAAAAAGGAUAAAAAAGAUCUCUUUUACAUUCGAUUCCCUUUGGUCUUAUAGUCGAGAGAAAAAGGAACAAAAAACAAAAAAAUAAAACUUAUUUGCCGUGCUGUCCCUCCUUUUGUGUUUGCUUGCAGGUACAUGUGCGGGCAUACCACUAACGUGGCAUGGUGGAGCGGCGCACGACGCGGGGCGUGUGAAGGUUGUUCGGCAGCUGAGGGCUACGGCGCGAAGGAACUCUAGGAUUCCUGAAAGAGUUUUGAUUUUGGGCCGUUUGGGCCAGGUUUAUCCUAUCUAGGUAUUGGGCCCUGUUGUAAAUGGGUAUUCGGGUUUGGGCCUAUUGUAAUUGGGUGUGGUAUUUGGGUUUUGAUUGGCUGUAAAUGAACUUUAUAUUUUGGACUAUCGUUUAUUGGGCCCCGGGCUAAAAUUGGGCCCUACAACUAUAAUGCAUAUUUUAUUAUAUUAAAAACCACAAAUAAAUAUAAUAAAUAUUUUUAUUGUAUUAAAUAUAAUUUUUAAAAUUUUAUACUUUGGGUUCGAUUAUUUAUUGGAUCGAUUUUUUUAAGUUUUGGAUAAUCGAUUUAAUUGUUAUUGGAUUAAUGAUUUAAUAUAUAUAAUUAUUUAACAUAUAUAAUUAAUAUAAUAUUUUUUAUAACAUAAUAUAUUCGGGCUAGG